rnacentral:rRNA from 1 species
GAGAGAGACAUGCGCGCAUAUCAAUAAGCGGAGGAAAAGAAACUAACAAGGAUUCCCUUAGUAACGGCGAGUGAAGCGGGAAGAGCUCAAAUUUGAAAUCUUCAAGGUUCUACCUUGACGAAUUGUAGUUUAAAGAAGUGUUUUCUGUUGAAGUUUUGGUAAAAGUUCUUUGGAAUAGGACAUCAUAGAGGGUGAGAAUCCCGUAUUUGACCAUUAUUUCCAGCUUUGUGAUACACUUUCAAAGAGUCGGAUUGUUUGGGAAUGCAGUCCAAAAUGGGUGGUAAAUUUCAUCUAAAGCUAAAUAUUGGCGAGAGACCGAUAGCGAACAAGUACCGUGAGGGAAAGAUGAAAAGAACUUUGAAAAGAGAGUUAAACAGUACGUGAAAUUGUCAAAAGGGAAGCGUUUGACACCAGUGUUGUUUUCUUGAAAAUCAAUUAAAAAUGGCUCGAUUUUGUAUUGCUUGAGACCUUAAAAGCUCACUGUACAUUUUUCGUGUCUUUUUUAAUGCACUUUUCGUUUAACAAGUCAACAUCAGUUUCUUUUGUUGUAAAAGGGUCAUUGGAAGGUGGCUUUCUUUUCGGAGAAAGUGUUUAUAGCCUUUGGCCUCUGCAAUCGGAGAGACUGAGGUCUGCAGCGUAGACUCUUCGGGGUUAGAUACAUUUGUGCUAAGUUAUAGCUUUUUAUAGACAACUUGUUGACUAUAAUUAGUCUUGUAGCUUACUCGCUUAUGCUAUUUUACCUACGCUUAGGAUGUUGAAGUCAUCGUAUCGCGC